GUGCUUGCUUCGGCAGCACAUAUACUAACAUUGGAACGAUACAGAGAAGAUUGGCAUGGCCCCUGCGCAAGGAUGACACGCAAAUUUGUGAAGCAUUCCAUGUUUUU
rnacentral:snRNA from 1 species